UGUACUGAAAAUAGUCCACAAUAAGUGUUUACAUUGAGGAAAUGUGUAUCUUAACCAUGAACAAUAUAUAAAAUGUAUAUAUUUACAAGAAUUUUGAGCUUUGUUGAUCGAAUUUAACUUUCGAAAUUUUUUAAUUUAUUCAAAAACUUUGGCACUAUAUUUUAGUGUUUUAGUAUCCGGUGUAUAUGUUGUACGGUCACAGGUUGUGCUUGACGGCCAGUAAAAUGAAACUUCAAUAUCGUAAUUUCUAUGUAUUUUCGUUGUUUUUGUUGUUGACAACAGGAAUAACAUUUGCUGAUGAUGCAGAAGAAUCGCCUGAAGAGAAUAUUGUUCAUGGAGAGGAGAGACCUGGUGAGGGCAGUGCAGUGAGAGAGGAGGGAGGGGUCCUGGUCCUCACUGAUGACAACUUUGACAAAGUGGUUGACAAACAUGACCAUGUGCUCGUGGAGUUCUAUGCUCCUUGGUGUGGCCACUGUAAGAGCCUCGCUCCGGAAUACGAGAAAGCAGCUGAACGUCUGAAGGAGGCCACACCACCUGUGCCACUUUGUAAAGUGGAUGCCACAGUCAACGAGGAGGUAGCAAAGAGGUUUGAGGUGACUGGCUACCCGACCCUGAAGUUCAAGAAGGAUGGAGCAUGGACAGAGUAUGAUGGACCCAGGGAGGCUGAUGGUAUUGUUAAGUGGGUGUCUGAAAAGACAGACCCGAACUACAAGCCACCUCCUGAGGCUGUCGUCACGGUAACCAAGGACAACUUUGAAGAGUUCAUCAACAGCCAGGAGCUGGUUUUGGUGGAGUUUUACGCUCCCUGGUGUGGCCACUGCAAGAGUCUGGCCCCUGAGUAUGAGAAGGCUGCCCAGUCGCUGAAGUACCAUGACCCGCCCAUCCCCCUGGGCAAGGUCGAUGCUACCGUGGAGACGGAGCUGGCACAGAGGUUUGACGUGUCCGGGUACCCAACACUGAAGAUGUUCCGCAGGGGCAAGCCCCAGGAGUACAAGGGGGGCCGGGACCAGUUCGGUAUAGUUGACUACAUGCACAAGCAGUCUGGAGAGGCAGCCAAGCUCUUGUCCACCCUGGAGGCAGUCAAGAAGCUACAGGACACAGAGCAACCCACUGUUGUAGGCUUCUUUGACAACCUUGAGGACGCCAAACUCAGGCUAUACAUGGAUGUCGCCAAUGAGAAGCGAGAUGACCUCACGUUUGGCUACACUCUGUUGUCUGAGGCACGUGAUUUGUACCGUGUCAAUCCAGGCAGUGUUGUAAUGUUUACUCCAGAGAAGUUCCACACAAAGUUUGAACCAAAGUACCAUGUCUUGAAAACGGCUGACAGUGACCAGGCGGCCAUGUUGAAGUUCAUCACAGAACACCAGACCCCCCUGGUAGGCCAGUACUCAACGCAGACGGACAAGUUCUACGCCGAGUUUAGCAAGACCUUUCUGUGUAUCGCCUUUUUCACGGUUGACUGGAGCUUCGAUCACAGAGAUGCCACUCAGCUGUGGCGUCACAAGGUGGCGGCAGUUGCCAAGGACAACCGCGACGUGAAGUUUGCCAUUGCUAACGAGGAGGACUACAUGACCGGGCUCAUGAAGGAGAUGGGGCUUGCGGACUCGGGCGAGGAGUUCAACAUUGGGUGCUUCAAGGACUUCAGGAAGUACAGGAUGGAGCCCAUGGACGAGUUUGAUGCAGACGAGAUCAACAACUUUCUGAAGAAGCUCAGAAAAGGAAAAUUGGAGCCACAAAUCAAAUCGCAGCCGAUUCCAAAGAAGAGCUCCGGACCAGUGACGGUUGUGGUGGGGAAAACGUUCGACAAGAUUGUUGGCGACAAGUCGAAGGACGUGCUCAUUGAAAUGUAUGCCCCCUGGUGUGGCCAUUGUAAGAACCUGGAGCCCAUCUACAAGGACCUCGCGAAGGCUUUGAAAAAGGAGAAAAAUCUCGUCAUUGCCAAGAUGGAUGCCACUGCGAACGACAUUCCAGACCAGUACAAGGUUGAAGGGUUUCCCAGUAUAUACUAUGCCCCUGCCAAUAACAAGGAGAGUCCAUUGAAAUUUGACGGUGAUCGAACAGUAGAAGGGUUCACUAAAUAUCUUAAGGAUCACGCGACUGUGACCUUUGGGAAAUCGCUAAAAGACGAGUUAUAACACUCCUUCACUGAUAGUACUGUCAGCUACAUCGACUUGUAUCUCAUAUUGGUGAAAGUGUGAUUGGCUCUUAUGCAAUGCAAACAGUUAUAAACAUAUUAACCCUUUCAGUGCGGGAACCGAAUUUUAAAGGCCUUUGCAAACAGUUUGGAUCCAGAUGAGACGCCACAGAAUGUGGCGUCUCAUCAGGAUCCAAACUGUUUGCUAUUCUGAUAGUAUUCUAUGAAAAAAAUAGAAGAAAAUGCUAAUUUUAGAAAUUCUGCAGAAGACAUUUUAGCAGACGACAAAUUUCCCAGCAUGCAAAGGGUUAAAAUGUCUGCUGCUGAUUGAAGUUUAUCGACUCAUAUUGAGAUUUCUAAAUGUUGUAAACCAAUAAAUUCGUUCAUUAACCCAUUUAUGCCUAGUGGACUCUCCCAUCCUUCUAAAAUGAAUCAAUUUAUUUCCAAAAUUAGGGAUGUCUAGUAUAUUUAUUUCUAUUUUAGCAGAAAGGCAUAAAUGGGUUAACUCUCAUUGAUUGCUUAGUACCAAACUUUAAGAUUAUAUGAUGUUUGUGUGUUGAAAUCAAAAUGCAUAACUAAAAAUCAAUAUUUGAUAUGAUUGUGUGAUUUUGUUAAAUGAAAAAAAUGGUUUAUUAAUUAAUGUUGGUUGAAGGUAUUUUAAAUGAUCAGUAUUGGACACAUUUAGUUUGUGUGCAUGAUGUAUAUUUGUACGUGCUCUUUACCAUAUAUGAUUAUAUUUGAAAAAAAGUUUAAUAUUUAUAAAAUACUGAUUUGCUACGCUCAAACUGGAUUCCUCUAUGAAAAAUUAAUGGGACAAAAACAGAUUUUGAUAAUUUGAAUACAUUUUUUUUAAUCUUUUAUUUGUACAAUGAAUUUUCUUGUAUUAUUUUGUUGUUAUAUUAUGAAUGUUUUUCAUUGAUAAAAAUUUACAAAUACCUAAAACAAUUUUUUUUUCUUAUACAAACGUAAUUACUGGAUAGUAUUAAUGUUGAUGUUUGUUGAGGCUGACAAGUAAGUUAUGUUCCAAGUAUAAGUGAUAAGGGGAAUGUUAUAGCUGCAGUGAGUGCAGCCAUGUGUGACUGCAGAAUCUGGCUGGACAUUGUACAUUGUAUAUAUUUUUAUUAAUCAUAUUUUUGUUAUUGAAUGUGGGAAUAGCAUGGGUUGUGUCACUUUUGUGGCACCUUUAUAUAAUAAACCUUAAAAAAACAUGCUUGUUG